rnacentral:tRNA from 1 species
AAAGAUUUAAGUUAACACAAACUAUUUACUUUCAAAGUAAACAAUAAUUCUUUUUACUCUUUG